UACUCAUGAUGGGGGCAAGCUCUAACAUACUCACUGAAUCGUUUCCAAGCUUCACCAAGAGACUCAUUCGGUUCUUGUUGGAAGUUAGAGAUCUUCCUUCUCAUUUA
rfam:Beta vulgaris subsp. vulgaris 0102.scaffold00345.con0015.1, whole genome shotgun sequence.